GCUGUCGUAGCUCAGGGGUAGAGCACUUCCUUGGUAAGGAAGAGGUCGCGGGUUCAAGUCCCAUCGACAGCU
rnacentral:tRNA from 1 species